rnacentral:lncRNA from 1 species
CAUAAGAACAGGAACGGAUAUGCGAGGUGAAAUGCAUUGAACGGGCAACGAAACCAUGGAGUGAAUUCAAAAUUUUAGGCAGCCAACAGCCUCAUGAAACGUUUAAGGUGGGACAAGGAAACAAUUGAAAUUUGUCGUUCCAUCUAGUCAUGCAAACAAGUUCAGACAGUGGAACUUGUUGUAAUGUGGCACCCAGCAGACACUGUGUAGACCUUCACGAGCUUAGUUUCAUUGGACAUCGGUCCCCUGGGAUAAACUGUAAGCAAAUGGGCUGGCUUACCCUUUGUACUUCCAGGUUAUGGAGUGGCUUUUCACUUACGGUUGUGCUUAGUAAAAUGGAAAGAGGAUUUUAGGUUUUUCAGCCUUGUAUGAAUCAAACAAAGGCUUAGCAA